UUAUAUAUCUGAUUAUAUCUUAUUCUACUCAAUAAUAUAUUUUAUAUUUUUAUUCUUCUUAUUGGAGCAUGUGAGGAAUUUAUGACAAUACUAAUUUCGAUAAUUUGAGGAAGCUUGGCUUUGUUGCAAAUUUAAGGAAUGAGUGCUUCUCUUCUCCAUCUUGUUUUGGGGAAUGAGAUGGAGAAGUUGUUGGACCUAAAAACAACUCUAUAUUCCCUAAAAUUGAGAAGUUCAAGAAAAUGAGGAAGCUGUUGGAGAUGCUCUAAUUAGUAGGCAUUCCUUGAAUCAAAUUUUUAAGGAAUCAAAGAGGAAAAUAAAGAUAUAACACCUCAAAUUAUUUUUACGCUUCUGUUAUGUUUACUUAAUUGUUUUCUUUAAUAAAUUGCCUAACGUGUCUCUUAGUUUACAUUUUAGAGACUCACGGCCAAUGUAAUGUGCCUAAAGAAAAGAUGCGUAGUUUUGUGGCGUUACAUCUAAUUAACCUCCAAACCCCCACCCAUCAGCGACCAUUGCAUCUGAACUUGUCCCUUGUAGCAGACCUUCUCGCAUCAAAGCGAGCCUCCCCUGAUGGCUACGAUUCCUACGAAGGCUAGGCUAAAAGCAAAUUUCAAAGCCCCCCUCCGAAAACUAAUAUAUUAACCACUCCCAAACUCAAAUUGAAACCAAAUCGAACACAAGAUUGGGCGUGGGUGGUUUUUCUCAACCCCCAAAAAGGGAAACAACGACGUUAAAACCUUUAUGUAUCCGAUAUCUUCUCCAUCGAACUCUAGAACCCCUCCGCCGCGCUCCUCCUUUACUUUAAUGCUCCACCAGGCAUAUCAAUAACAAUAAGGGAGGUGCACCUUUGGUCAUCGUACCCUAGUGAACGCGACCCAGACUUUGCCAACCUCUUGCUCCUACUCCAAGCUUGUUGACGACAAUAUUCCACAGGCGUGCCGUCGGACGAGGGAUUCGUUGAUAUUUUUGUUAGGUUUUCAACUUUCUCCGGUUUUCUUGGAGCAAAUUUUUUUUUUCUUGUAAUAUGGCAAUUACAGAAGCGCAAGAAAAGUGUUUAUUCUUAGGCCCAAUUUGGUAUUGAGUUUUAGGGAAUAAAAUCACUUAUAUUCACCAUUUGGAAAGAUUUACUGUUUGGUAAAAUCUUAACAUUGUAUUUGGAUAAAGUAAUUUCAUUUCCUAUAGAAAAUUUAACAUCACGGGAAUUACAAUUCCUUGAAUUAAAAUUCCUUUAAUUGAGAAUUAUAUUGUUUGGAUUACAUGAUGUAGAGUUUUAAAAUGAUAAGAAUUUGUAUUUAAACUAACUUCAGUUAAAUGAAUUGACAAAUGACUCAUAUAUUGUGUGGAAUUCAAGUAGGGAAUUUAAACUCCCAAAUUCCACGAUUAUUUUCCCGUGGAAAUUACUAAUUCCACAGGAUAAGAAUCCAAACGAUAGAAAAAGUUUUGAGAAAUUGGGAAUUCUUUAUUUUUGAUUAAAUUUAUAGGAAUUCAC
rnacentral:lncRNA from 1 species